rnacentral:rRNA from 1 species
GACGUAGGGCGCGAGCGUUGUCCGGAUUUAUUGGGCGUAAAGAGCUCGUAGGCGGUUUGUCGCGUCUGCCGUGAAAGCCCGUGGCUUAACUGCGGGCCUGCAGUGGGUACGGGCAGACUAGAGUUCGGUAGGGGAGUCUGGAAUUCCUGGUGUAGCGGUGAAAUGCGCAGAUAUCAGGAGGAACACCGGUGGCGAAGGCGGGACUCUGGGCCGAUACUGACGCUGAGGAGCGAAAGCGUGGGGAGCAAACAGG